AUAAUUAUGGAGGGGAGGAAAUAUCAUCAUCUGGAAGGUGGUUUUCCCAGGUUGAGGCUUAUCCAUGCACUCUGGAUGUGCAAUGUAAUUUCCCCAAACGUGGGAAACUCAACCGUAUAAUACACAAUAGUGGGAAACUGUUGGUAUUUUCCCC
rnacentral:snRNA from 1 species